AAGUCGUAACAAGGUUUCCGUAGGUGAACCUGCGGAAGGAUCAUUAAUGAAAUUAUAAUCCGGCGAGGGAAAGGCGGAGAGUUGUAGCUGGCCCCAGGGCAUGUGCACGCUCUCUUCCGGACUUUCGCCGUAUGGGCGCGGGGCGACCCGCGUCUUCAUAUACCUCUUCGUGUAGAAAGUCUUUGAAUGUUAUUACCAUCAUCGAGUCGCGACUUCUAGGAGACGCGAUUCUUUGAGACAAAAGUUAUUACAACUUUCAGCAACGGAUCUCUUGGCUCUC
rnacentral:misc_RNA from 1 species